rnacentral:rRNA from 1 species
AUUGAACGCUGGCGGCAGGCCUAACACAUGCAAGUCGAGCGAGCGGCGGACGGGUGAGUAAUGUCUGGGAAACUGCCUGAUGGAGGGGGAUAACUACUGGAAACGGUAGCUAAUACCGCAUACCAUCAGAUGUGCCCAGAUGGGAUUAGCUAGUAGGUGGGGUAACGGCUCACCUAGGCGACGAUCCCUAGCUGGUCUGAGAGGAUGACCAGCCAAAGUGGAACGGAGACACGGGCCAGACUCCUAGGGGAGGCAGGGGUGGGGAAUAUUGCACAAUGGGGGCAAGCCUGAUGCAGCCAGGCCGCGGGUGGGAGGAAGGCGUUGGGGUUGUAAAGCACUUUCAGCGGGGAGGCGUUACCCGCAGAAGAAGCACCGGCUAACUCCGUGCCAGCAGCCGCGGUAAUAC